GUCCGGAUGGCGCAGUGGUCAGCGCAUCUGCUUAGUAAGCACGAGACCCAGGUUCGAUUCCAGGUCUGGCACA